GUGCUUGCUUCAGGAGCACAUACACUAAAAUUGGAAUGGUACAGAGAAGAUCAGCAUGGUCCUUGCACAAGGAUGACACACAAACUUCCGAAGCAUUCCAUAUUUUU